AUGUUUGUUCCUGUACCGCGAUGGAGGUCUAAGCUGUGCUGCGCAGACCAUGAUCUAGCGUUGCGCCUCACCAACAACGAACUACCAAAUAUAAAGACGAAUAGAUUAUAAAGAUGCCCACAGCUGUUAUGGGGGAAUGUAGGCUUUUUGGCCAGUUGCUUUAGUUUAGUUGGUGUAUCUUCAUGUCCUUAGCUUUUUGAAUUGUAACCCCGCACCUUCAAAUCUGAGCAAAAAGCCGGGAUGCAACUCUUCAAAGACAUUAGUGAGUGCUAGCUAGGACCAACUUUUGCAUCUUUUACCGUUCCCUUGGUUCAUUUAUAAUAUGCUUCUGCGUAUACGGUAGACUGAAAUGUCUCACUCCAUGAUAUUAACUCUUCAUAUUGUCUUGAAUUACUUAUGUGAAAUUUAAUGAAUCCCUAUAUUUGAAUGGCUA
rnacentral:sRNA from 1 species